GUGCUGUUUGAUUUGAUUGAAUAUGAUUUAAAACUCUUGCACAUAGCAGUAAUUAAAGUAAUGCUGUAUAAAUAAUUCAUUUGUUGGAGAUGGGAAAUGUUGAGCAACUACAUUGGAUAAACAGGGAGAUUAUAUCAAUGGCCCAUUAAUAUCUUUAUUAGCGUAUGUUGAUAUGGAGUUGGUUUUUAUUAGUAUAACUUUUGAAAUUGGACUUAUAUACUAACAAAGAGGCAACUUUUUUCUUCUAUAUGUUUUUCCUUGUCUGCAUGUUAAUUCUAAAGCUUGAGAUCUUACAUUUUCCAGUGCAGACUGCAGCCAAAGAUCUAGUAGAUCCUUACUACACGAAUUCUUUUAUUAUUAUUUUUUCUUUUGCUUGGUUUGUGUCAUGAAUAUUGAAGGAAGAUUAUGAUGCAUGCUUGAUGGUUAGAGUGGAGACAAUGAAGAGGCAUCUUCCUUUAUCUGGACUAGAGGGAGCUCUGGAAAUCGAAAUUGUUGUAUAAACUUGGCACUUUGAGACCGUUUGAAGCAAUGAAAUUUAUUUACUCACAUGAAGGAAAGUAGUUCUAUUUUAUGUCUGUUGUUGUUGGUUGCAUUCCUUAUAUAUCAUGUAAAUGUUAUUGAAGCAUUUCUAUAUAUUUCUAGAUUUCAACUUCUUUAGUUGUAGAAUUUCCACAAUUGCCUUCGUUUUGGCUUCGACUUUGGGUAAUAAUUGCUUCAACUUUGCUCGAUUUUCAGUGUGAUUUAAAUUUCAUUUUUUGUGUUAGGUGCUGAGAGGUGGACAAAAGUGUAGAGUUGAAGAAAUUGGGAGCAAGGUACUCCAUCAAAAUUAAAAGUGGAAAAAGAAUGUUUCUCGCCAUACCCUACAGCAGCUACUCCACCAGCUGUAACUUAGGACUGAAAUUAAUCGAGCCUUUGCUGUUCUGAGGGACAUUGCUCCCGGAAAAGCUUUGCUUCAAGGGAUACACACAUAAGUUUGAGAUUGCAGAGACAUGUUUUGGAGAGAUGGGGAGCCAUUUAGGAUAAUUGGAGGAGACUUGCAUUAUUUCCGAGUGCAUCCUGAGGUUUGUGGUGGAUUAAAUGAGCCGUACGCUGAGCUGAAGAGGCUUGUGAAUUCACAAGAAAAGUUGUACGAGAUUGCUAGCUAGUUGCAUAUUUAAUAUGUUUAGUAUUUUUGUAAGGCAUAAUAGUAUAGAUAGAGC